rnacentral:lncRNA from 1 species
CGGAUGAUCCAGAUCAAAAGCGCGCACAGACGGCCCAGAUUGCAUCGUGCACGGACGGUCCAUAUUGAAUCGCGCAUGGACGUCUAAGAUUGAAUCGCGAUGAAUGGCCCAGAUUCACUCCCUAUUUAAUCGCGAUCAGACAGUUCAGAUUAAAAGCGAUGGACGGCUCAGAUCAAAAGCGGAUGGGUAUAAAUAACCC